rnacentral:lncRNA from 10 species
UGAGUCAUGAAAAUGUAUUUCUUAUUGUAGAUUUUAGUCAACACAGUUGGAAAGUCACUGAUUUAGAAGACCUUUCAGCUCUAAGUUUCUCUAAUUCUGUGAUUUCACCUCACCUGUUACUGACCUUGUAAAUCACCACAUGAUACUAACAAAUCCAAAUUUGUUUCUGCUUUGCUACAGAGUCAAGCACCAGAUGUGUCCAUUAUCAGCAUAUUCUAAAGAAUGUUUAUGCUUCCAGAACUGCCCAAUCUCCUGUGGCCUCUUCUGGCCUCUUCUUCUCUUAUGACCUGAUUCUGGUAUUUUUCGCUGACCAAUAGAGCUAAGAUAAAACUGGACUACAUAGCUACAACUGUUUUGUGUAAAAUGAGAAAAAAAGAUUUUUUUUAAUGAGGUAAAAAAGUCAUCCUGCCAAACUAUAGAAUGAGAAAAAUAUAAAAGCCCACCUGAGACAUGAUCUCAGACAGUAUAUAAUUUAAUUAAAACAUGAUGUUUAGAGGAGCUGGAAUAGAGAGCAUAACAAAACCAAGAUAAACUAAAACCCUAGAGAAACUAUCAGCAGAGUUUCCCAGCCUCUUACUCUUCAAAUUCCUCGUAUCCAUUCUGAGAAUACUGUUGAACCUACUUUAAUCUCCAAGAGCAAUUAAGUUAGGCACAUUAUUUUGCAACUUGAGAUUUAUAAGACAUUCUUUUAGUGAUAGCGAUUUUUUGGUAUAGUGUGCAUGGGGCAAGAGGUACCACCUUUCCCUUUCACUUCCAUUCUAUCAUCACAGAAAAUUGUAUCAGGAUCACGUGAGGGAACUUUUCAGUUACCCCUGUACACCCAGAAAUUCUAAGAAUCAAAGAGUAUAUGCACUCACAUUUUCACAUCUUUCCACAUCUAAAGUCCAUCCCAGUAGCGCAUAGUUAUGACUAGAAUUUUUUAGUUAUAUGACACCUUUGCAAAAUACUUCCCCACCCCAUAUCUAAUUGAUUUACACAGAUGCCAGGGAGCUUUUGAAGUGUGAUCAUACGUAAACGUGUCUGGCAAACUGAGGACACAGGAAAGAGUGACUAAUAGAAGUCAAAUUUCAAGUAGAGUCAGCAGGGGCUUGAGAGAGACUUAAUAUCAAGGACAAAAUAUAGGAAGGUUGAGGAGAAUUUGCAGAGUUGGAAAGGAAAAGUAGUUUCAGAUACACAGCUAAUACUGUAAUCUCUCCCACCUAGCCUCUGCGUUGGUUUAGAUAUACCAGAAAGAGAAAAGGGCCAUUUUUGCUAACUAAAGGAGCUAUCCCACUACUUAACACCUAGGAGUCUAAGUUCCUUGCUAAGGAAUCUCCAUAACCAAACAUAUUCUACAGGAGGAAUGCCAUUCCCAUGCCCACUUUGUAGCAGAAGAAUUGGGUGGGAUGAGAGCACUGAUGACCUGAGCCAUCAGGCUGGCUGCCUUCUCUGGCAGUGGGUCCUGUUCAGUAGAGCAGGGAGAUGAGGUUCCAGGUGACAGCAGGAAACAGCAGACUCCUGGCCAGAUGAGACUGAGUAAAACAAGGACACCAAUCUCUUGGAUAUGGGACUGCAGCCACUUGCUGGAAACCCACAAACACUGACCAAGCAAUUGCUGCUUUGGAGGAGGAACAAGCCGCUCUCCAUCCUUUACCACCCUGGGACACUGCCCUACAGAGAUUGUGUUGGGAGUUACCUUGUCUCCUCUGCUCUCCAGCAAGGCAGCCACUGGAAUAGAGUGGAGGCAACAGCAGGAUCAAAAGGAGGGAGGAGAGAAAGAUCAUGCACUUAUGUCCUUCUCUCCUUCCUACUGUGUCACCUCAGCAUCUUCACCAGGAGCAGAUUUCAUCCCAAGAAACCACUUUCUUUGCUCAUCCAUAAGAAGCAACCCUUCAUCUGUUCAAGUUUUAUGACAAGAUUGCAAUAAUUCUGUCACAUCUUCAGUCUCCAAUUCUAAUUCUGGCCCUUUUCUUGUUUGUAUCACAUCUGCAGAUAUUUCCUCCCCUGAUGUCUUGAGCCCUUCAAAGUCAUCCAUGAGGGUCAGAAUAAACUUCUUCCAAUCUCCUGUUAAUAUUGAUAUUUUGACCCCCUCCCAUGAAUUGCAAUUGUUUAAAUGGCAUCUAGGAUGGUGAAUCCUUUCCAAAAGGUGUUCGAUUUUUUUGGCCAGAUCUAUCAGAGGAACCACAUCUAUGGCAGCUAUAAUCUAUAGAAAUAUAUUUCUUACAUAAUAAGACUUGAAAGUCAAAAUUACUUCUUGAUUCAUGGGCUGCGGGAUGAAUGCUGUGUUAGCAGGCAGGAAAACAACAUCUAUCUUCUUGUACAUCUCCAUUAGAGCUUUUAGGUGACCAGGUGCAUUUUCAAUGAGCAGUAAUAUUUUGAAAGAAAUUCUUUUUAUUUUUGAGCAGAAGGUCGCAACAGUGGGCUUACAAUAUUUAGUAAGCCAUGCUGCAAACAGAUGUGCUGUCAUUCCAACUUGGUUGUUUUAUAUAGAGAUAGAACAAACAGAUUAGAUUUAGUAAAAUUCUUAGUGGCCCUGGGAAUUUGGGAAUGGUAAAUGAGCAAUGGCUUCAAAUUAAAGUCACCAGCUGCAUUAUUCCCUAGUAAGGGAGUCAGCCUGUUCUUUGAAGCUUCAAAGUCAGCAAAGUGCUGACUUCUCCUUUCUAGCUAUGAAAGUCCUAGAUGGCAAAUUCUUUUGACAGAAAGCUGUUUCUUUUACACUGAAGAUCUGUUGUUUAUAUAACCACCUUCAUCCAUGAUCUUAGCUGGAUCUGGAUAACUUGUUUUAGCUUCUACAACAGCAUUUUAUGCUUCACCUUGCACUUUUAUGUUAUGGAGACAACUUCUCUCCUUAAACCCCAUAAAUCAAUCUCUGCUAUCGUCCAACUUUUUUCUGCAGCUUCCUCACCGAUCUCAGCCUUCAUAGAAUUGUAGAGAGGGCCUUGCCUUGGAUUGGGCUUUGGUUUAAGAGGAUGUUGUGGCUGGUUUGAUCUUUCAUUUAAAUCACUAAAACUAUAUUCGUAUCAGCAAUAAGCCUGUUUCAAUUUGUCAUCAUUCAUGGGUUCACUGGAGUUACACUUUCAAUUUCCUUCAAGAACAUUUUCUUUGGGUUCCCAAAUUGGCUGUUUGAUGCAAGAGGCAUAGCUUUUGGCUUAUCUUGGCUUUUGACUUGCCUUUCUCACUAAGCUUAGUCAUUUCUACCUUUUGAUUUCAUAUGAGAGGUAUGCAAAUUUUCCUUCUACUUGAACACUUAGAGAAUAUUUUAGGAUUAUUAGUUGGUCUAAUUUCAAUAUUGUUGUGUCUGAGGGAAUAGGAAGGCCUGAGGAGAAGGAGAGAGACUGUUGAAUGAGUCAGCGGAGCAGUCAGUACACAAACAACAUUUAGCGAUUAAGUUUGCUGUCUUCUGUGGAGGUGGUUUGUGGCUUCCCUCCCCAAAUUACAAUGGUAAAAUCAAAGAUCACUGAUCACAAAUCACCAUAACAGAUAUAAUAAUAAUGAAAAAGUUUGAAAUACUAUGAGAGUUACAGAGACACAAAGUGAGAAUAUGCUGUUGGAAUUUUGACACCAAUAGACUUACUUGUUCAAUGCAAGGUUGCCACAAGUUUUAAUUUGUAAAAACUGCAGUAUCUACAAAGUGCUAUAAAAUAAAGCACAAUAAAAUGAGGUCUGACUCUACCUCACUCUCCCUUGUUCUUUUACCAAAGUUUAGCCCACCCUUUCACAAGUAGCACCUUUAUUAAACUCUCCUUAUAUCACUCAACUCUGAUUAAUACAAGUGACUACAUGAUAUGCCUGUCUGUGCUCUGCAGAGACAGCAUUUUCAAAAGACUGUUCUUGAGAUCGAAAUAAAAAAACUUCAAUGUUAAAUUAGCUUCACAGACUAGGUUAAGCAAAAUUAAAUGUGUUUUUACUUUUGAAUCUCAUACUUUGGGGGGUAUAAAUAUUCACUGAGACUCUAUAAGAGAAGGAAAUGGUGAGCAGAAUUUUCUAAAUUUUAUUUUUCCCCCAGAGCAGCUUCUAGGACUAUAAGGGCAGAAUCAAGGUGGGAUUUUAGUAGACUAAUGCUGCAUCCUCCUAAAGGAGGUAAUGUAGAAGGAUUUGAUGGGAGUCAUGGCUGCCAGUAACCACAGGCUCCUAUCCUGGGCUGGUUGGAACAUCUUAAAUAGGACCCUGGGAAGUGUCAGGGGAGGCUGAGGUAAUCCUGCCAAAAUAGUGAUGAUCUCUGGCUGCUGGAUUCAGCUCAUUGGUAUUUCUUCCACCUCCUCCCUAGUGAGGAUUUCUGUUACUGGCUGUCACUUCUUAUCACAAUCUCUCACAACUAUUUCAUUACUUUCUUCUCUCUUCUGGCCACAUCGCAUUUGCAAUGAGACUAUCCAGUUGUCUUUCUGAAAUGAACUAGCCUGCAGAUAUUUCAAAAUAUUCUUUCCUCAACCUUUUCACUGUUUACCCUAUUAUUUUUCCAGGGCUUCGAGGCAUUGGUGUCAAUGAGAACUGACUUCUAUUGUAAUUAUAAGCCAGUGAGAUAGUUUUCUGUUUUUUUUUUUUUUUUUUUUUUGCUUUUUGAACAGCUAACAUUUUAUUUAAAUUAAAAGUGGUAGUUGAACAUAUAAAAAUUUCUAAGGAUGCUUCGUGUUCUAUGUAAACCUAAUAUUUUAUUUAGAGAACAAGGAAUGAAACCAAGGAAGAUAGAAUGACAUCAAAGACGUCAAAUUACAAAUUAGUGACAAAGCUAAAAAAAAAGUCUAAUUUAGCAAUCUGGACUCUCAAUUCCAAUUAUGUCUUAUUUUACCACACAAUUGCUGUCUUCUCUCCUGGCUGCUCUGGGACAAAAACAAUCUCAUAGAAACUGCUGCAGGUAACCGAACAUUCUUUUAUAAUUUAAGAAUAGUCUCUCAUAUUCCUUUUGCAUUUUAUGUAUCCAAAUUUUGGAAAAGUUGACAAAGACAUCAUCUUAAAAACAUCUAACCUAAUCUGACUCGAAAAACUAUAUCUUGAAACCUGACUUCUAGUAUGUAAAAUUAUCAACAGAUCAGCAAACUGGCCAUUUAGAUAUCUAAUUCCAAUGAGAGAUGAAAAAUCAUAGGAAAUUGCAUGAUUUUUAUCUUUCUAUGUAGAAAUAGCAAAG